rnacentral:rRNA from 1 species
GAUAAGCGCUGAAAGCAUCUAAGUGCGAAGCCUUCCGCAAGAUUAGAACUCCUCAUAAGGGUCGUCAUAGACUAUGACGUUGAUAGGGUGUAGGUGUAAAGACAGCGAUGUCAAAGCCGAGCACUACUAAUUGCCCAAAACUUUCAUU